GUCCCCACCAUGGCCUGGACGGUGCUUCUCUUCCAGCUCCUCACUUACAGCUCAGGGGUGGAUUCUCAGACUGUGGUGACCCAGGAGCCGUCACUCUCAGUGUCUCUUGGAGGGAAGGUCACACUCACCUGUGGACUGAGCUCUGGGUCAGUCACUACAGGUUACUACCCCAGCUGGUACCAGCAGACCCCGGGCAAGGCUCCCCGCACGCUGAUCUAUGAAACAAACAAGCGGCCCUCGGGGGUCCCUGAUCGCUUCUCUGGAUCCAUCUCUGGGAACAAAGCCGCCCUCACCAUCACGGGGGCCCAGCCCGAGGAUGAAGCCGACUAUUACUGUUUUCUACCCAUCACUAUUGGCAAUACACAGUGAUGCAGACCCACGGGGAAGUGCAACCAAAACCUCCUUGUGUGCUCAGAAUGGCUCAGCCUCAGAUGCAGAAAACUGCGAAAGGGGGGAAAUGCCCACACACCACAGGGAGGGGCUCUGUGUCCCUGCCCUCCUGUCCAGCCCUU